UGGGGAAUAUUGCACAAUGGGCGCAAGCCUGAUGCAGCGACGCCGCGUGGGGGAUGACGGCCUUCGGGUUGUAAACCUCUUUCGGCAAGGACGAAGAAGUGAUUUGACGGUACUUGUAGAAGAAGCGCCGGCCAACUACGUGCCAGCAGCCGCGGUAAUACGUAGGGCGCGAGCGUUGUCCGGAUUUACUGGGCGUAAAGGGCUUGUAGGCGGUUUGUCGCGUCGUUUGUGAAAUUCCGCAACUUAAUUGUGGGCGUGCAGGCGAUACGGGCAUAACUUGAGUGCUCUAGGGGAGAUUGGAAUUCCUGGUGUAGCGGUGAAAUGCGCAGAUAUCAGGAGGAACACCGGUGGCGAAGGCGGGUCUCCGGGGAGUAACUGACGCUGAGGAGCGAAAGCAUGGGUAGCGAACAGGAUUAGAUACCCUGGUAGUCCAUGCUGUAAACGGUGGGUACUAGGUGUGGGCUGCGUUUCCGCGUGGUCUGUGCCGUAGCUAACGCUUUAAGUACCCCGCCU
rnacentral:rRNA from 1 species